UACGUAGGUCCCGAGCGUUGUCCGGAUUUAUUGGGCGUAAAGCGAGCGCAGGUGGUUUAUUAAGUCUGGUGUAAAAGGCAGUGGCUCAACCAUUGUAUGCAUUGGAAACUGGUAGACUUGAGUGCAGGAGAGGAGAGUGGAAUUCCAUGUGUAGCGGUGAAAUGCGUAGAUAUAUGGAGGAACACCGGUGGCGAAAGCGGCUCUCUGGUCUGCAACUGACGCUGAGGCUCGAAAGCAUGGGUAGCGAACAGG
rnacentral:rRNA from 1 species